UAUGAAGAACGUAGUGAAAUGCGAUAAGUAAUGUGAAUUGCAGAAUUCAGUGAAUCAUCGAAUCUUUGAACGCACAUUGCGCCCCUUGGUAUUCCGAGGGGCAUGCCUGUUCGAGCGUCAUUUUGACCACUCCCGCUUGCGGGGUCUUGGGCCUUCGCCUCUGGGCGGGCCUUAAAAUCAGUGGCGGUGCCGUCCGGCUCUAAGCGUAGUAAAUCUCCUCGCUAUAGGGUUCCGGAGGGAUGCUGGCCAACAACCCCCAACUUUUAAGGUUGACCUCGGAUCAGGUAGGGAUACCCGCUGAACUUAAGCAUAUCAAUAAGCGGAGGA
rnacentral:misc_RNA from 1 species